UACGGGGGGUGUAGCGUUGUUCGGAAUUACUGGGCGUAAAGGGCGUGCAGGCGGUCGCCGCAAGUUGAAUGUGAAAUCCCUGGGCUUAACCCAGGACGUGCGUUCAAGACUGCGGGACUUGAAUACGGGAGAGGGUCGUGGAAUUCCUGGUGUAGAGGUGAAAUUCGUAGAUAUCAGGAGGAACACUCGUGGCGAAGGCGACGACCUGGACCGAUAUUGACGCUGAGACGCGAAAGCGUGGGUAGCAAAC
rnacentral:rRNA from 1 species